UACGGAGGAUGCAAGCGUUAUCCGGAAUGAUUGGGCGUAAAGCGUCCGCAGGUGGCUGUGUAAGUCUGCUGUCAAAGAGCGAAGCUCAACUUCGUAAAGGCAGUGGAAACUACACGGCUAGAGUGCGUUCGGGGCAGAGGGAAUUCCUGGUGUAGCGGUGAAAUGCGUAGAUAUCUGGAGGAACACCGGUGGCGAAGGCGACGUCCUGGACCGGCAUUGACGCUGAGGCGCGAAAGCCAGGGGAGCAAAGCGGG
rnacentral:rRNA from 1 species